rnacentral:sRNA from 1 species
UUUCUGUUGUGUUUGGAAUGCAAAGUUCUGGCUGAAACGGUGGCCACGGAGAAGGGGUGAUAGAUUUGAGAGGCUGGAGGGAUGAGGAAGUGAGGGACUCUAUAUACUGAGCUCUCAAGCCUAGGAGUGAAAACGGGUCAUUCAGAUUCUAGGAGAUAAGUUUCCAUGCACUUUGGUGGCACAGAAAAUUGACCUGCCGGAGUACCAGGGGGAGCCGGAUGAGAUUUCCAUACAGAAAUGUCAGGAGGCAGCUCGCCAGGUGCUUGCCCUGCCCUUGUCCCACACUUGCCCCUCUUGUCCAGGUACAGGGACCCGUGCUGGUUGAGGACACCUGUCUGUGCUUCAACGCCCUUGGAGGGCUCCCUGGCCCCUACAUAAAGUGGUUUCUGGAGAAGUUAAAGCCUGAAGGUCUCCACCAGCUCCUGGCCGGGUUCGAGGACAAGUCAGCCUAUGCGCUCUGUACGUUUGCACUCAGCACCGGGGACCCA